AACGAACGCUGGCGGCGCGCUUAACACAUGCAAGUCGAACGAGAAGGCGUAGCAAUACGCUUGUACAGUGGCGAACGGGUGAGUAAUACGUGGGCGACCUACCCUCGAGUGGGGAAGUAACCCGCCGAAAGGCGGGCUAAUGCCGCGUACGCUUCCAUCUUUAUGGAGGUGGAAGGAAAGCCGUGCCGUGGGCACGGCGCUCAAGGAUGGGCUCACGUCCUAUCAGCUUGUUGGUAGGGAACGGCCUACCAAGGCUCCGACGGGUAGCUGGUCUGAGAGGACGAUCAGCCACACUGGCACUGCGACACGGGCCAGACUCCUACGGGAGGCAGCAGUGAGGAAUAUUGCGCAAUGGGCGAAAGACCUGACGCAGCGACGCCGC
rnacentral:rRNA from 1 species